UAAGUGUUAAGCGUAUUGAAUAUCUAGCCGUUUCCAAAAGAAACGGUCGCUAGUAUCUCCUUUUCUUUUAUUACUAGUGUUCGUAGAAUCACUUAGAUCUCACGUUCACGGAAUCAAUUCGAGUACAAAGAGUGUAAAGGAACAUUGUGCAAAUGUCUCUUCAGAGAAAAAAAAAAAGAAAAAAAAUAUCGUGUUCGUAGAAUACUACCUCCCGCGCGUGUGUUCUCGCGUACACGCGAGGAUUUUAAUCUUUUUUCCUCUUUAGAGCAAGCGAGAAAAUUCUAAGUCUAACAAAGUGUGUUUACGUUCCGAAACGGAAAGGUUUUCCCUCUCAAAAAUUGCCGUCACCGCUGCUCUUUCGUAUGCACGCGGCGCAUGGAACUGACUUUUAACACAGCGGCGCUCACCCCGCGAGCCCACUCGUUCAUUUCUGACCAAAACUGAAUUUCCAUCGAGCCAGAGAGAAACCUCGAGAUAUUGCCUUUGAUUAGAUUUGCAUAAGAGCGAUACUUUGGCCGGCAAAACGUUGUACAGCCCCGGCUUUUACCACAGGCGCGGGGAUGAUUUCCAGACCGCGAGGAAAUUCUCCUCGAAAUUGCUCGUAAAACGCCCCUGUUAACGAAACAUCGACGCGUCUAGGGUAUUUCAUCCAGUUCCAUGCCCGGUGUGCACUGUUAUAAUACUUACGCGCAACUUUGUAUCUCGUAAUGGCAGCCUUGUUCCGCAGGUGGAGAGAGGAAGAUCAGUAUUAAAUUAUGAAAGACGUCGAAGACUGAGUAUACGAAAA